UACGUAGGGUGCGAGCGUUAAUCGGAAUUACUGGGCGUAAAGCGUGCGCAGGCGGUUUUGUAAGCCAGAUGUGAAAGCCCCGGGCUCAACCUGGGAAUGGCAUUUGGGACUGCAAGGCUCGAGUGCGGCAGAGGAGACUGGAAUUCCUGGUGUAGCAGUGAAAUGCGUAGAUAUCAGGAGGAACACCGGUGGCGAAGGCGGGUCUCUGGGCCGAUACUGACGCUGAGGAGCGAAAGCGUGGGGAGCAAACAGG
rnacentral:rRNA from 1 species